rnacentral:rRNA from 1 species
AACACAUGCAAGUCGAACGAACCCUUCGGGGUUAGUGGCGCACGGGUGCGUAACGCGUGGGAAUCUGCCCUUAGCUUCGGAAUAACUCAGGGAAACUUGUGCUAAUACCGGAUGAUGUCUUCGGACCAAAGAUUUAUCGGCAAGGGAUGAGCCCGCGUAGGAUUAGGUAGUUGGUGAGGUAAAGGCUCACCAAGCCGACGAUCUUUAGCUGGUCUGAGAGGAUGAUCAGCCACACUGGGACUGAGACACGGCCCAGACUCCUACGGGAGGCAGCAGUGGGGAAUAUUGGACAAUGGGCGAAAGCCUGAUCCAGCAAUGCCGCGUGAGUGAUGAAGGCCUUAGGGUUGUAAAGCUCUUUUACCCGGGAUGAUAAUGACAGUACCGGGAGAAUAAGCUCCGGCUAACUCCGUGCCAGCCGCCGCGGUAAUAC